GACGAACGCUGGCGGCGUGCUUAACACAUGCCAGUCGAACGGAAAGGCCCUGCUUUUGUGGGGUGCUCGAGUGGCGAACGGGUGAGUAACACGUGAGUAACCUGCCCUUGACUUUGGGAUAACUUCAGGAAACUGGGGCUCAUACCGGAUAGGAGCUCCUGCUGCAUGGGGGUGGUUGGAAAGUUUCGGCGGUUGGGGAUGUACUCGCAGCUUAUCCGCUUGUUUGUGGGGUAGUGGCUUACCAGGGCUUUGACGGGUAGCCGGCCUGAGAGGGUUACCGGCCACAUUGGGACUGAGAUACGGCGCAGAAGCCUACGGGACGCAGCAGUGGGGAAUAUUGCACAAUGGGCGGAAGCCUGAUGCAGCAACGCCGCGUGCGGGAUGACGGCCUUCGGGUUGUAAACCGCUGUCGCCUGUGACGAAGCGUGAGUGACGGUAAUGGGUAAAGAAGCACCGGCUAACUACGUG
rnacentral:rRNA from 1 species